rnacentral:rRNA from 1 species
UAUUAUUUAAAAUUAUUUUGUAUUCUUAGGUAGUAUUAGUUAUGGUCUUGAAACUUAAAAAAUUUGGCGGUAUUUUAGUCUAUCCAGAGGAACCUGUCCUGUAAUUGAUAAUCCACGUUGGACCUUACUUAAUAAUGUAUUCAGUUUAUAUACCGUCGUUAUAAGAAUAUUUUAUCAGAAUAAUAAUUUUCUUAAAUUUUUAUUAUAAUUUAUAUCAGAUCAAGGUGUAGCUAAUGAUUAAGUAGAGAUGGGUUACAUUAAAUUUAUUUAUACGGAUUUUAAUAUGAAAAAUUUUUUGAAGGUGGAUUUGGCAGUAAAAUUAUAAAGAUUGUUAAUUUGAUUUUAGCUCUAAAAUAUG